rnacentral:misc_RNA from 1 species
UCUUCGUAGGUGAACCUGCGGAGGGAUCAUUACAGAGUUCAUGCCCUACCGGGUAGAUCUCCCACCCUAUGUUAUUAUUACUUUGUUGCUUUGGCGGGCCGUUAGGCUCCGGCCCGACUACCGGCCCCGGCUGGUAAGCGCCCGCCAGAGGACCCAAAACCCUGAAUAUUAGUGUCGUCUGAGUACUAUAUAAUAGUUAAAACUUUCAACAACGGAUCUCUUGGUUCUG